CUGGCGGCGUGCCUAAUACAUGCAAGUAGAACGCUGAAGAGAGGAGCUUGCUCUUCUUGGAUGAGUUGCGAACGGGUGAGUAACGCGUAGGUAACCUGCCUGGUAGCGGGGGAUAACUAUUGGAAACGAUAGCUAAUACCGCAUAAAAUUGAUUAUUGCAUGAUAAUUAAUUGAAAGAUGCAAUUGCAUCACUACCAGAUGGACCUGCGUUGUAUUAGCUAGUUGGUGAGGUAACGGCUCACCAAGGCGACGAUACAUAGCCGACCUGAGAGGGUGAUCGGCCACACUGGGACUGAGACACGGCCCAGACUCCUACGGGAGGCAGCAGUAGGGAAUCUUCGGCAAUGGGGGGAACCCUGACCGAGCAACGCCGCGUGAGUGAAGAAGGUUUUCGGAUCGUAAAGCUCUGUUGUAAGAGAAGAACGGGUGUGAGAGUGGAAAGUUCACACUGUGACGGUAUCUUACCAGAAAGGGACGGCUAACUACGUGCCAGCAGCCGCGGUAAUACGUAGGUCCCGAGCGUUGUCCGGAUUUAUUGGGCGUAAAGCGAGCGCAGGCGGUUAGAUAAGUCUGAAGUUAAAGGCUGUGGCUUAACCAUAGUAUGCUUUGGAAACUGUUUAACUUGAGUGCAGAAGGGGAGAGUGGAAUUCCAUGUGUAACGGUGAAAUGCGUAGAUAUAUGGAGGAACACCGGUGGGGAAAGCGGCUCUCUGGUCUGUAACUGACGCUGAGGCUCGAAAGCGUGGGGAGCAAACAGGAUAAGAUACCCUGGUAGUCCACGCCGUAAACGAUGAGUGCUAGGUGUUAGGCCCUUUCCGGGGCUUAGUGCCGCAGCUAACGCAUUAAGCACUCCGCCUGGGGAGUACGACCGCAAGGUUGAAACUCAAAGGAAUUGACGGGGGCCCGCACAAGCGGUGGAGCAUGUGGUUUAAUUCGAAGCAACGCGAAGAACCUUACCAGGUCUUGACAUCCCUCUGACCGCUCUAGAGAUAGAGUUUUCCUUCGGGACAGAGGUGACAGGUGGUGCAUGGUUGUCGUCAGCUCGUGUCGUGAGAUGUUGGGUUAAGUCCCGCAACGAGCGCAACCCCUAUUGUUAGUUGCCAUCAUUCAGUUGGGCACUCUAGCGAGACUGCCGGUAAUAAACCGGAGGAAGGUGGGGAUGACGUCAAAUCAUCAUGCCCCUUAUGACCUGGGCUACACACGUGCUACAAUGGCUGGUACAACGAGUCGCAAGCCGGUGACGGCAAGCUAAUCUCUGAAAGCCAGUCUCAGUUCGGAUUGUAGGCUGCAACUCGCCUACAUGAAGUCGGAAUCGCUAGUAAUCGCGGAUCAGCACGCCGCGGUGAAUACGUUCCCGGGCCUUGUACACACCGCCCGUCACACCACGAGAGUUUGUAACACCCGAAGUCGGUGAGGUAACCGCAAGGAGCCAGCCGCCUAAGGUGGGAUAGAUGAUUGGGG
rnacentral:rRNA from 1 species